GACGGAGGGGGCAAGCGUUGUUCGGAAUUAUUGGGCGUAAAGGGCUCGUAGCGGAUCCGCCAGUCUGACGUGAAAUCUCCACCGCUCACCGGGGAGGGGCCGUUGGGAUACUACGGAUCUGGAGUUCGGCAGAGGACCAUGGAAUUCCAGGUGUAGCGGUGAAAUGCGUAGAUAUCUGGAGGAACACCGGUGGCGAAGGCGGCGUUCUGGACUGUAUCUGACACUGAGGAACGAAAGCCAGGGGAGCAAACGGG
rnacentral:rRNA from 1 species